UAAUACGUAGGGACCAAGCGUUGUUCGGAUUUACUGGGCGUAAAGGGCGCGUAGGCGGCGUGACAAGUCACUUGUGAAAUCUCUGAGCUUAACUCAGAACGGCCAAGUGAAACUGUUGUGCUAGAGUGCAGAAGGGGCAAUCGGAAUUCUUGGUGUAGCGGUGAAAUGCGUAGAUAUCAAGAGGAACACCUGAGGUGAAGACGGGUUGCUGGGCUGACACUGACGCUGAGGCGCGAAAGCCAGGGGAGCAAACGGGAUUAGAUACCCCGGUAGUCCUGGCCCUAAACGAUGAAUACUUGGUGUCUGGAGUCAUUAAUGCUCCGGGUGCCGUCGCUAACGUUUUUAGUAUUCCGCCUGGGGAGUACGCUCGCAAGAGUG
rnacentral:rRNA from 1 species